rnacentral:rRNA from 1 species
AAACUUUACAAUGCGGGAAACCGUGAUAAGGGGACACCGAGUGCUAGCAUCAUAUGCUGGCUGUCCAGGUGUACACCUGUAGCAAGGGCCGGCAAGACCGGUGCCAGCCGCCGCGGUAACACCGGCGGCCCGAGUGGUCGGGACGUUUAUUGGGCCUAAAGCAUCCGUAGCCGGUUCUACAAGUCUUCCGUUAAAUCCACCUGCUUAACAGAUGGGCUGCGGAAGAUACUAUAGAGCUAGGAGGCGGGAGAGGUAAGAGGUACUACAGGGGUAGGAGUGAAAUCUUGUAAUCCCUGUGGGACCACCUGUGGCGAAGGCGUCUUACCAGAACGGUUCGACGGUGAGGGACGAAAGCUGGGGGCACGAACCGGAUUAGAUACCCGGGUAGUCCCAGCCGUAAACGAUGCUCGCUAGGUGUCAGGUGGUGCCGCAGGGAAGCCGUGAAGCGAGCCACCUGGGAAGUACGGCCGCAAGGCUGAAACUUAAGGAAUUGGCGGGGAGCGACUGAACU